UUCAUGUUUUGAUACAUAUGUGAGUAUGCCUGAAGGAGUGAAUACAUUUUUUUUACUAUUUCAGGCAUACUCACAUGUGUAUAAAAGCAUGU
rnacentral:miRNA from 1 species